ACCCAGCUGACGAGUCCCUAGUAGGACGAGACGCGCGUCCUGGAU
rnacentral:hammerhead_ribozyme from 1 species